CCUACGGGUGGCAGCAGUGAGGAAUAUUGGUCAAUGGGCGCGAGCCUGAACCAGCCAAGUAGCGUGAAGGAUGACGGCCCUACGGGUUGUAAACUUCUUUUAUAAAGGAAUAAAGUGAGGCACGUGUGCCCGUUUGUGUGUACCUUAUGAAUAAGCAUCGGCUAACUCCGUGCCAGCAGCCGCGGUAAUACGGAGGAUCCGAGCGUUAUCCGGAUUUAUUGGGUUUAAAGGGUGCGUAGAUGGGUUGUUAAGUCAGCUGUGAAAGUUUGCGGCUCAACCGUAAAAUGGCAAUUGAUACGGGCAGACUUGAGUACAGUUGAGGUAGGCGGAAGUCGGGGU
rnacentral:rRNA from 1 species